rnacentral:lncRNA from 1 species
AUGGACCAAGUGGAAGAGUUCCAAAAUCUUUCACAUGAGGUUCAAGCCGAAGGGAUGCCCUUGGCGGAUGCAUUGCUUCUUCUGCUGCUGCUGCAACCUGUUGCUGUGUGGGCUGGGCUUGGGAAUAAAACAAUCAUUUGGGCCAAGAAUUAAAUUCUGUUGGGCCAAAAUUAAAAGCCCAGUGGAGUUGGUCCAAAAUAAUAAUUUGGGCCCCAAAGCACCAAUUGCCAAGAUCCAAGUCCUUGGCCGCGGCCCGUACCCGACCCGCCCGUCCGGCGGCGCCGGCGACGUCGUCGUCGUUCGUCCGUCCGUCCGAUCGUCGGCGGCGGCGCGCGUGUGUGCGCGAGGCUAGUACUUAGAUCAAGCCCACUAGCAAGCCCACAAGUCAAUUUAUCAACUCUAUGUGCUUUGCUAUUCUUAUACAUGAAAAACAUCUCUAUGUUUUCCAAUGUGGGAUAGCAUUUAUUUUUCCUCUUCAACAUCCAAACUUUGACAUACAAUAUCUCACUCAUCGGAAAUCGGUUUUGAGACUUCAAGUAUACCACGUUGAUCUACUCGAGAUGUAGAUUAACAUCCAAUAAUUAUUUUAAUUAAAUAAUAAAUAUUUAAUUAAAUAAUAAUUUUCAGAUAUGGCUUAAAACCAUAUUUCCAACAGUAUUCACUUACGAAUAGCUAGAUAUUCUACCUUAAAUAUAGUCCUAGUUCAUGUUAGAACCGGGUACACGAUCGAGAUAUUACAAAAUAAAUAUUUUGAGAUAUUACAACUCAAAAUAAUUGAAAAUAUUACAAAGAAAAUAAUUUGAGAAAUUACAACUCAAAUAAAUGUAUACAACUGAAAUAUACUGUAUAAAUAAAUUAUACGUAUAAACUAAGUCGAGUCGAGAUGAAUCUCUUCCCGCAAGAAGAUUAUCGCCCCGGUAGUGCUCUUCGGUUUGGCGUAUCUCCCCUAAAGGUAAAACGACUUCGUCUCAUUGGAUGUAGCACCACAAUCCGGCGAGCUCCGGCGAACUGAAUAGGAUUAAGAACUGAGCGCAAGUGUUAUGCAGAGAGUGUGUGUAGAAAUGACAGAAUGCAGAAUAUUUGUUGAUUUUUGUGUGUUCUAUCUGCAUGCUCUCCACAAGCCUAUUUAUAGGCAUGUAGUAAGUAUGAAUUCAACACCUUGAAUUCUACUCCGACGGCUGGAAGCCGUAAAGGUUGAAGAUGAAGAGAUGGCCGAUGGUCGCAGUCAAAAAGAUGAAGCUGCCAUGCAGAAGUCGAAGUUGGCGUGCUUCUGCUACUGCUUCUUCUGCUGCUGCUGCAACCUGUUGCUGUGUGGGCUGGGCUUGGGAAUAAAACAAUCAUUUGGGCCAAGAAUUAAAUUCUGUUGGGCCAAAAUUAAAAGCCCAGUGGAGACACCACCCCAAAGCACCAAUUGCCAAGAUCCAAGUCCUUGGCCGCGGCCCGUACCCGACCCGCCCGUCCGGCGGCGACGACGUCGUCCGUCCGAUCGAUCGUCGGCGGCGGCGCGCGUGUGUGUGUGCGCGAGGCUAGUACUUUAGAUCAAGCCCACUAGCAAGCCCACAAGUCAAUUUAUCAACUCCAUGUGCUUUGCUAUUCUUAUACAUGAAAAACAUCUCUAUGUUUUCCAAUGUGGGAUAGCAUAACAAAUGUUAUUUUCCCUCUUCAACAUCCAAACUUUGACAUACAAUAUCUCACUCAUCGGAAAUCGAUUUUGAGACUUCAAGUAUAUCACGUUGAUCUACUCGAGAUGUAGAUUAACAUCCAAUAAUUAUUUUAAUUAAAUAAUAAAUAUUUAAUUAAAUAAUAAUUUUCAGAUAUGGCUUAAAACCAUAUUUCCAACAAUCCCCCACAUGAGUGAGAAAUCAGUAUGCGAAAG